GCCAUCAAUCAUUCACCGAUUCAUGCUAUAAUCUCCAGUUUCAGGUGUUCAUCGUUGCUUGAUGAUCAAAUACGAUGAUCAUCCGAGCUUCAUCUGAACUCAACAUUGUGUUGAAUAGAUUCUUGUUUUAUUAUCUUUUAUUGCUAUAAUUUUUAUAGUUCACCAGAAAUUGGCAGGUGUUUAAUGCUUCAUUGUGUGCUUAGACCGUUGAAUUUUCUGGUAUAAUCAAGUGUUCAUCGUUGCUCUUUAAUCAAAUCCUUAUGAUUUAUGAGCUACAUCUGGACACAACAUUG